rnacentral:rRNA from 1 species
UACAGAGGGGGGCAAGCGUUUGUUCGGAAUUACUGGGCGUAAAGGGCGCGUAGGCGGCCUUCUAAGUCGGAUGUGAAAUCCCCAGGCUCAACUUGGGAACUGCAUCCGAUACUGGAUGGCUUGAAUUCGGGAGAGGGAUGCAGAAUUCCAGGUGUAGCGGUGAAAUGCGUAGAUAUCUGGAGGAACACCGGUGGCGAAGGCGGGACUCUGGGCCGAUACUGACGCUGAGGAGCGAAAGCGUGGGGAGCAAACAGG